UCUGGCUAGAGAAAAGCAGGCAGUGUGUGUGUUUGUGUGUGCAUGCGUGCAGGCCGGCGCUGAAGGGAUUGAAUGUCUGGGGCUUCAGGGCUCCCUUCCUGCCUCUAUCGUGAUAUCUCCAAGACGCUUGUCAAACUCAAGGAGAAGGGAGACGGAAGGGGAAAAAAACGCUUCGUACUUGGAUUCUGUGUGAUACUUCAAUCUGCCUCCUUUUGUGCCUCUUUCUGUCCGCUCACAAAGAGAGUUGCUAAUCCGGAGCUCAAAGGAGAGCUGGCUUUUCCUGUGUAAUUACAGACGCAACGCAACGCAAUUACAGCUGCCACACGGGAGAGAUGGAGGGAGAGAGAGAAAGUUAUGAGAAUCUACCGUCUGAAGCUAAAUAAAUAUUCCUUGACCCAAGGACUGUACUUGACAUGAUACAAGAUCAACGGUGAAGUGUUCAUUAGAGAAGUCCUUAUCAACCAGUGGAACGGAAGAAGAAUUCCUCACUACCAGCAGACUGUCAGAACAUAAUUUCUAAUAGUUAUCUAUGUGGGACUGAUACCAGUGUGGAAGAGCUGGUCACUUUUAAAAGACUUGGGGAAUGAUUGCCUUGCCAAUUGGACGAUUGAAUAUUAUUGUCUUCCUCCUAAUACAGGAUGUGGUAGGAAUCGUAAGCGACAUCAUCAUUACACAUGUCAAUACUUAUUUUAUCUAACGUUGUUAGAAAUCUAUUUCUUAUAGUAACAGCAAGUAGAAUAUGCCCUUUGUGUUUUAUAGAAAUGCAAGGUGUUUAAUGUGAAUGAUUUUAUGCUUACUGCAAAUGUUUUUUAUACCGUCUAUUUUUUCAUGUUUUCUAUUGUUUCUAAAAAUACAUUUUAAGUAUAUUUAUUUUGAAAAUGUUCUAGGGGGAGUGUAAGAAUAUUUAGAAGAUAAAUACACAAUGCAGAGGACGAGAGGUCAAUAGAGUACUAACUGUCAAGAGGACUAAAAGUCAAUAGAGUACUAACGAUCAAUGGAAAUAGUGUUUUUUCUGUAAUAGGGGAUUAAUGAUCAAUGGGUCAGAUACAUGGGAGGAAUUUCAGUCCGGGACUCAUAGCUACAUGGCAAGUUCUCGUUGGUCCAAAUUGUUUAUACAUUGAGCCUGAAAUAUGCUACUUGUUAUUUGGCCAUUGUCCCAGUUAAUUGCAAGGAAUUUUAAUUGGUCAACCACAGGCUAGGGUUGGGAUAUAAAACUACAUCCUGUCCCUUUGUUCUGUGGAGAGAAUCACUGAGUAGAGAAUAACUAAGGACAGGGGAGAAUGGGGAGAAUCUACCUCCCCGCAUGAUUUGUUCUCUUUGAAUAAACAAACCUAUUUUCCUCCCCCUGA